CAUUGGACGAAGAAAUCGAGCAGCAAGGAGUUGUAUCAGCCAUUGAUAUUGACGGUGAGACCGUGACUGUGGAAAUUUCAAUGGGGAGAACAUCUCUGACGUUCAAAAUGAAUAGUCAAGUGCUGCGUGAACUGGGCAAAGAAGAUUAUGUAAUUGAAAGGCUGGACAGGCUGGAUGUGACCUUUACUGUAAGGAACGGGCAAAUCGUCAAAAUAAGGGAAGUUCCUGAUGAUAGUGAAGACGACUGAAGAGAACUGAAGAGUAUAGAGUAGCCAGUAGUGUGUAGCGAGUAGUGAGUAGAGUAGCCAGUAGACAGUAGCAUGUAGUAAAUAUAAAUAAUAUGAAGAAUUAUAUAAAUAUAGUAAUGCAUAAUAAAGAACAAUGAAUGUGUAUACUACCAAAGAAAUAUUUCUUAUUCUUCUUUGACUUUCGUAGGCAAUUCAAAUAAUUAUAGAAGCAGCAGUCUGUAACUAGACGUUUGCCUAAGUCUAGGGCCUAAUCUGCAUUGGCUAUUAAAUUAUAGUAACAACAAAAAUAAUGAAAAUUGGAAAAUUGGAAUCGAAUUUCAUCAAUGACAUACACGUUCACAUGAAAGAUUUGUACAUAUGACGAUGAAUUUUCAGUUUUACUACGGAACAUCUUCACUAUUGCGGUAGACGGUGUCGAAUGUAAAUUGUAAUGAGCGUGAUGAAUGACAUUGACGAUUCAUUGACAUUGACAUUGAACGAUUCAAAUAUAUCAGUAUAAUGACAUGUAAAAGGAGCCGAUAAACGAUAUGGACAGUCAAAUCUGAAGUGGUCAAUACAUUGCACGUGAUGCGCAAAACACGUUACAAACAAGAAAUGUUGCAAUUUGGGGUUAAUUAAGAUCGUUUCUUAACAUCGGUUCUU